rnacentral:rRNA from 1 species
UGGGGAAUAUUGCACAAUGGGCGCAAGCCUGAUGCAGCCAUGCCGCGUGUGUGAAGAAGGCCUUCGGGUUGUAAAGCACUUUCAGCGAGGAGGAAGGUGGUGAGCUUAAUACGCUCAUCAAUUGACGUUACUCGCAGAAGAAGCACCGGCUAACUCCGUGCCAGCAGCCGCGGUAAUACGGAGGGUGCAAGCGUUAAUCGGAAUUACUGGGCGUAAAGCGCACGCAGGCGGUUUGUUAAGUCAGAUGUGAAAAUCCCCGGGCUCAACCUGGGAACUGCAUUUGAAACUGGCAAGCUAGAGUCUCGUAGAGGGGGGUAGAAUUCCAGGUGUAGCGGUGAAAUGCGUAGAGAUCUGGAGGAAUACCGGUGGCGAAGGCGGCCCCCUGGACGAAGACUGACGCUCAGGUGCGAAAGCGUGGGGCAGCAAACAGGAUUAGAUACCCUGGUAGUCAGCGCUGUAAACGAUGUCGAUUUUGGAGGUUGUGCCCCUUGAGGCGUGGCUUCCGGAGCUAACGCGUUAAAGUCGACCG